rnacentral:rRNA from 1 species
AUGGACGGGUGCGCCGCCGCUCAGUACAAGGUGGGCGGGCUGGACGCGUGGGGGGUGCCGCCGUCCAGCAAGCCGGACGUGUAUGUGCGGUGGGCCAAGUCCGUCCCCGUCAAGCUCGGCGACGCCCUCUUCUUCCUCUACCCACCCAGCCAGGACAGCGCCGUGCAGCUCACCGCCAAGGCCUUCGCCGCCUGCGACGUGUCCGACCCGCUGCUCAAGCUGGAGGACGGCAACUCCUUCAACCUCACCAAGCCCGAGCGGGCCUACUUCAGCAGCGCCGCCCCGGGGCGCUGCCACAAGGGCCAGAAGUUCAAGCUGCGAUGA